UUUUUGCCUGGACUAUUUUGUUCUUUUCGUCCAGCGGGUCUAUUUAUACGAAGUAUUUUUUAACUGCGUCCGCAUUCACAGGGGAUGGAAAAUCUUCGCCAUCCAUGGUCGUUAACAACAAGGCUCCACCAGAGAAAACCUUCUUGACCACGAAUGGACCUUCAUAAUUCGGUGUCCAUUUUCCCCUUCGAUCGUUUUGAGGAGGAAGGAUC
rnacentral:lncRNA from 1 species